rnacentral:rRNA from 1 species
UACGGAGGGGGCGAGCGUUACCCGGAUUUACUGGGUGUAAAGGGCGUGUAGGCGGUCUCUCAAGUCCGAUGCUAAAGACCGAAGCUCAACUUCGGGGGUGCGUUGGAUACUGUGAGGCUAGACGGUCGGAGGGGGUAGCGGAAGUUCCGGAGUAGCGGUGAAAUGCGCAGAUACCGGAAGGAACGCCGAUAGCGAAGGCAGCUACCUGGACGAUUGGUGACGCUGAGACGCGAAAGCGUGGGGAGCAAACCGG